rnacentral:rRNA from 1 species
GUGGGGAUUUUGGACAAUGGGCGAAAGCCUGAUCCAGCCAUGACGCGUGCAGGAUGAAGGCCUUCGGGUUGUAAACUGCUUUUGUACGGAACGAAAAGACUCCUUCUAAUAAAGGGGGUCCAUGACGGUACCGUAAGAAUAAGCACCGGUUAACUACGUGCCAGCAGCCGCGGUAAUACGUAGGGUGCAAUCGUUAAUCGGAAUUACUGGGCGUAGAGCGUGCGCAGGCGGUUAUAUAAGACAGAUGUGAAAUCCCCGGGGUCAACCGGGGAACUGCAUUUGUGACUGUAUAGCUAGAGUACGGAAGAGGGUGAUGGAAUUCCGCGUGUAGCAGUGAAAUGCGUAGAUAUGCGGAGGAACACCGAUGGCGAAGGCAAUCCCCUGGACCUGUACUGACGCUCAUGCACGAAAGCGUGGGGAGCAAACAGGAUUAGAAUCCCCGGUAGUCC